rnacentral:rRNA from 1 species
GUGACUGCGUACCUUUUGUAUAAUGGGUCAGCGACUUAUAUUCUGUAGCAAGGUUAACCGUAUAGGGGAGCCGGAGGGAAACCGAGUCUUAACCGGGCGUUAAGUUGCAGGGUAUAGACCCGAAACCCGGUGAUCUAGCCAUGGGCAGGUUGAAGGUUGGGUAACACUAACUGGAGGACCGAACCGACUAAUGUUGAAAAAUUAGCGGAUGACCUGUGGCUGGGGGUGAAAGGCCAAUCAAACCGGGAGAUAGCUGGUUCUCCCCGAAAGCUAUUUAGGUAGCGCCUCGUGAAUUCAUCUCCGGGGGUAGAGCACUGUUUCGGCUAGGGGGCCAUCCCGGCUUACCAACCCGAUGCAAACUGCGAAUACCGGAGAAUGUUAUCACGGGAGACACACGGCGGGUGCUAACGUCCGUCGUGAAGAGGGAAACAACCCAGACCGCCAGCUAAGGUCCCAAAGUCAUGGUUAAGUGGGAAACGAUGUGGGAAGGCCCAGACAGCCAGGAUGUUGGCUUAGAAGCAGCCAUCAUUUAAAGAAAGCGUAAUAGCUCACUGGUCGAGUCGGCCUGCGCGGAAGAUGUAACGGGGCUAAACCAUGCACCGAAGCUGCGGCAGCGAACGUAUCACCCAAGACAACUUUACGGAGUUGACGAUUGACGGAGCGAAGCGACGUCAAAGCGUUCAUUAAAGUCGAGUUGGCUUAGGGAUACGUUCGUUGGGUAGGGGAGCGUUCUGUAAGCCUGUGAAGGUGUGUCGUGAGGCAUGCUGGAGGUAUCAGAAGUGCGAAUGCUGACAUAAGUAACGAUAAAGCGGGUGAAAAGCCCGCUCGCCGGAAGACCAAGGGUUCCUGUCCAACGUUAAUCGGGGCAGGGUGAGUCGACCCCUAAGGCGAGGCCGAAAGGCGUAGUCGAUGGGAAACGGGUUAAUAUUCCCGUACUUGGUGUUACUGCGAAGGGGGGACGGAGAAGGCUAUGUUGGCCGGGCGACGGUUGUCCCGGUUUAAGCGUGUAGGUGUGUGUUCCAGGUAAAUCCGGUUCACUUUAACACUGAGGCGUGACGACGAGGCACUACGGUGCUGAAGCAACAAAUGCCCUGCUUCCAGGAAAAGCCUCUAAGCAUCAGGUAACACGAAAUCGUACCCCAAACCGACACAGGUGGUCAGGUAGAGAAUACCAAGGCGCUUGAGAGAACUCGGGUGAAGGAACUAGGCAAAAUGGUGCCGUAACUUCGGGAGAAGGCACGCUGACACGUAGGUGAAGUGAUUUACUCAUGGAGCUGAAGUCAGUCGAAGAUACCAGCUGGCUGCAACUGUUUAUUAAAAACACAGCACUGUGCAAACACGAAAGUGGACGUAUACGGUGUGACGCCUGCCCGGUGCCGGAAGGUUAAUUGAUGGGGUCAGCGCAAGCGAAGCUCCUGAUCGAAGCCCCGGUAAACGGCGGCCGUAACUAUAACGGUCCUAAGGUAGCGAAAUUCCUUGUCGGGUAAGUUCCGACCUGCACGAAUGGCGUAAUGAUGGCCAGGCUGUCUCCACCCGAGACUCAGUGAAAUUGAACUCGCUGUGAAGAUGCAGUGUACCCGCGGCAAGACGGAAAGACCCCGUGAACCUUUACUAUAGCUUGACACUGAACAUUGAGCCUUGAUGUGUAGGAUAGGUGGGAGGCUUUGAAGUGUGGACGCCAGUCUGCAUGGAGCCGACCUUGAAAUACCACCCUUUAAUGUUUGAUGUUCUAACGUGGACCCGUAAUCCGGGUUGCGGACAGUGUCUGGUGGGUAGUUUGACUGGGGCGGUCUCCUCCUAAAGAGUAACGGAGGAGCACGAAGGUUGGCUAAUCCUGGUCGGACAUCAGGAGGUUAGUGCAAUGGCAUAAGCCAGCUUGACUGCGAGCGUGACGGCGCGAGCAGGUGCGAAAGCAGGUCAUAGUGAUCCGGUGGUUCUGAAUGGAAGGGCCAUCGCUCAACGGAUAAAAGGUACUCCGGGGAUAACAGGCUGAUACCGCCCAAGAGUUCAUAUCGACGGCGGUGUUUGGCACCUCGAUGUCGGCUCAUCACAUCCUGGGGCUGAAGUAGGUCCCAAGGGUAUGGCUGUUCGCCAUUUAAAGUGGUACGCGAGCUGGGUUUAGAACGUCGUGAGACAGUUCGGUCCCUAUCUGCCGUGGGCGCUGGAGAACUGAGGGGGGCUGCUCCUAGUACGAGAGGACCGGAGUGGACGCAUCACUGGUGUUCGGGUUGUCAUGCCAAUGGCACUGCCCGGUAGCUAAAUGCGGAAGAGAUAAGUGCUGAAAGCAUCUAAGCACGAAACUUGCCCCGAGAUGAGUUCUCCCUGAGACUUAGAGUCUCCUGAAGGAACGUUGAAGACGACGACGUUGAUAGGCCGGGUGUGUAAGCGCAGCGAUGCGUUGAGCUAACCGGUACUAAUGAACCGUGAGGCUUAACCUU